rnacentral:rRNA from 1 species
CACGGAGGGCGCAAGCGUUGUCCGGAAUUAUUGGGCGUAAAGAGCUCGUAGGCGGUCUGUUGCGUCCGCUGUGAAAACUCGGGGCUUAACCCCGAGCCUGCAGUGGAUACGGGCAGACUAGAGGUAGGUAGGGGAGAAUGGAAUUCCCGGUGUAGCGGUGAAAUGCGCAGAUAUCGGGAGGAACACCGGUGGCGAAGGCGGUUCUCUGGGCCUUACCUGACGCUGAGGAGCGAAAGCGUGGGGAGCGAACAGG